rnacentral:rRNA from 1 species
AACGAACGCUGGCGGCAUGCCUAACACAUGCAAGUCGAGCGGUAACACAGGGAGCUUGCUCCCGGGUGACGAGCGGCGGACGGGUGAGUAAUGUCUGGGAAACUGCCUGAUGGAGGGGGAUAACUACUGGAAACGGUAGCUAAUACCGCAUAAUGUCGCAAGACCAAAGAGGGGGACCUUCGGGCCUCUUGCCAUCAGAUGUGCCCAGAUGGGAUUAGCUAGUAGGUGGGGUAACGGCUCACCUAGGCGACGAUCCCUAGCUGGUCUGAGAGGAUGACCAGCAACACUGGAACUGAGACACGGUCCAGACUCCUACAGGAGGCAGCAGUGGGGAAUAUUGUACAAUGGGCGCAAGCCUGAUGCAGCCAUGCCGCGUGUAUGAAGAAGGCCUUCGGGUUGUAAAGUACUUUCAGCGGGGAGGAAGGUGUUGAGGUUAAUAACCUCAGCAAUUGACGUUACCCGCAGAAGAAGCACCGGCUAACUCCGUGCCAGCCGCCGCCGUAA